rnacentral:rRNA from 1 species
GUGCCAGCCGCCGCGGUAAUACCGGCGGCUCGAGUGGUGGCCGCUUUUACUGGGCUUAAAGGGUCCGUAGCUGGAUUCACAAGUCCCUUGAGAAAUCUAUCGGCUUAACUGAUAGGCGUUCAGGGGAUACUGUGGUUCUAGGGACCGGGAGAGGUGAGAGGUACUGCCGGGGUAGGAGUGAAAUCCUGUAAUCCCGGUGGGACGACCUAUGGCGAAGGCAUCUCACCAGAACGGCUCCGACAGUGAGGGACGAAAGCUGGGGGAGCAAACCGGAUUAGAUACCCCUGUAGUCC